CGAACUUCCGUUAAUUGAUUAUGACGUACUUGUACUGAUUGAGAUUUUAACACGAAGUGAGUGGCGAACGGGUGAGUAACACGUGGGUAACCUGCCCAGAAGUAGGGGAUAACACCUGGAAACAGAUGCUAAUACCGUAUAACAGAGAAAACCGCAUGGUUUUCUUUUAAAAGAUGGCUCUGCUAUCACUUCUGGAUGGACCCGCGGCGUAUUAGCUAGUUGGUGAGGUAAAGGCUCACCAAGGCAGUGAUACGUAGCCGACCUGAGAGGGUAAUCGGCCACAUUGGGACUGAGACACGGCCCAGACUCCUACGGGAGGCAGCAGUAGGGAAUCUUCCACAAUGGACGCAAGUCUGAUGGAGCAACGCCGCGUGAGUGAAGAAGGGUUUCGGCUCGUAAAGCUCUGUUGUUAAAGAAGAACGUGGGUAAGAGUAACUGUUUACCCAGUGACGGUAUUUAACCAGAAAGCCACGGCUAACUACGUGCCAGCAGCCGCGGUAAUACGUAGGUGGCAAGCGUUAUCCGGAUUUAUUGGGCGUAAAGCGAGCGCAGGCGGUCUUUUAAGUCUAAUGUGAAAGCCUUCGGCUCAACCGAAGAAGUGCAUUGGAAACUGGGAGACUUGAGUGCAGAAGAGGACAGUGGAACUCCAUGUGUAGCGGUGAAAUGCGUAGAUAUAUGGAAGAACACCAGUGGCGAAGGCGGCUGUCUGGUCUGCAACUGACGCUGAGGCUCGAAAGCAUGGGUAGCG
rnacentral:rRNA from 1 species